GUCUAGACAGUGUUUUUUUCUCUCUCUGUCUUUUACCAUGGAAACUUAUAAAACGUUGGAGCAGAAACUCCAAUCUAAUCUAGAGUAAGGAUAGUAGUUUCGCGUCUCUCUACGAUAAAACAGGAAGCGAGAAAAAUGAUCGAUCUUUCUCGACGAGAAACUAAGUGUUAGCCAAUAAAAUAGCAAGAAAAGUCUCAAUUCUAUGGAUUGGUCGGGGUGGGCCAAUUAUAUUGUCUUCGUGUUCGCCAGACAGCAUUCCACUAGACUUCUUUCUUUGGGGGUAUGUUAAGGACAUCGUGUAUCGCACUCCUAUAGUAAACAUCACGGAGAUAAAGAUCAGGACAACGGACGCCAUCGCUACUGUAACCAUGGACAUGUUGCACCGAACGUGGACUGAAAUCGAAUAUCGGUUAGACGUGCUGAGAGCCACUAAUAUUGCACACGUAGAAAACUACAUACAUGUUAAUAAAAACUGAGUUUGGCAACAAGAUGUUGAAAACUGCAUGAUUUUGACACUGAUAGGAUAUAUCCCGACCUACCUCCAGUACCCAAUGCAGCAAAGUAACUGCGUUCUUUCAGAACAAACACUAUUAACAACGGGCUCCUUCCUUUUACUUGUUCUUGUUGCUGAUGUUUUUAAUCUGACGUACUGCGCUUAGAACACGUCAUCCAAUCAGAAUGCUUCCAGCAACCGAUGACGUCAUGAGUCUAAGUGCAGCGAUAUCAAGACGUACAGAGAGAAACUAAGCCUCGUUUAUCUGAAGUAUAUAUCUGCUGACGUGGGUGGUUUCAGUACUUAAACGUUUUUUUUUCAAAUUGCAAGUGAAAAAUGAAGUUACGAAGGUGGAAUGGAUAACACGUAGAAACUUAAAAAAAAAAAAA